CCUACGUGCGGCAGCAGUGAGGAAUAUUGGUCAAUGGGCGCGAGCCUGAACCAGCCAAGUAGCGUGAAGGAUGACUGCCCUACGGGUUGUAAACUUCUUUUAUAAAGGAAUAAAGUGAGGCACGUGUGCCUUUUUGUAUGUACUUUAUGAAUAAGGCUCGGCUAACUCCGUGCCAGCAGCCGCGGUAAUACGGAGGAUCCGAGCGUUAUCCGGAUUUAUUGGGUUUAAAGGGAGCGUAGAUGGGUUGUUAAGUCAGUUGUGAAAGUUUGCGGCUCAACCGUAAAAUUGCAAUUGAUACUGGCAGUCUUGAGUACAGUUGAGGUAGGCGGAAUUCGUGGUGUAGCGGUGAAAUGCUUAGAUAUCACGAAGAACUCCGAUUGCGAAGGCAGCUUACUAAACUGCCACUGACAUUGAUGCUCGAAAGUGUGGGUAUCAAACAGGAUUAGAUACCCCAGUAGUC
rnacentral:rRNA from 1 species